CGCAGCUCCGGACAAGGAAAAGGGGGCGGUCCUUCAACCACUGCCGGAGCCACAGUCUCCCACCCCUCCACCCCAACCCCUGCUUCCUGUGAGCUCGGAAAGACGGAGCCAUAUUCCUCAUUUUAUUCUUUCUUCUAAGGCAGGUCGGAUCCCACAGAGAUGACCCUUCAGUUUCCUGCGUGGAGGGUGCAGAUCUGGGAGGAAGAACAGGAGUUACCUAGCAGCAAGAGCUAGGCAGACACCAGGGAUUUGACAACCUCACACACCCUAACAAGAAAGGAGAUGGGAAUCCUUAGAGGAAGCAGAGAAGAAAACUCAAAUAUACACAUAUCGCAUAUCCUGAGGAAACCACCUGAAGUUUGUGUUUCCUUAAAAACGAGAAAAUAAUCACAAGAAAAAUAAAGAGACAAGGAAGAGGAAGAAGAGGACAAUAUAGUGUAUUAGUCCAUUCUGUUGAAUACUUAAUACUACAGACUAGGUAAUUAAAAAGAAUAAAGGUUUCAUUUAGUUCAUGGCUCUAUAGGCUGGGGGAGAUCUAAAAUCAAGGGGCAACAUGUGUUGAAGGUCUUCCUGCUGAUAAGGACUCCAAAAUCCUAAGGCAGCACAGACCCAAGAUGGUUUUAUAACAGACCACUAUCUUGAGAUAAUCCAUGAAUCAUUUUCUUAAUAAAUUAACAGAUAAUCCCCUCACAUGAGCAGAAUUCUCAUGACCCA